rnacentral:rRNA from 1 species
GACGAACGCUGGCGGCGUGCUUAACACAUGCAAGUCGAACGAAGAGCGAUGGAAGCUUGCUUCUAUCAAUCUUAGUGGCGAACGGGUGAGUAACGCGUAAUCAACCUGCCCUUCAGAGGGGGACAACAGUUGGAAACGACUGCUAAUACCGCAUACGAUCCAAUCUCGGCAUCGGGACUGGAUGAAAGGUGGCCUCUAUUUAUAAGCUAUCACUGAAGGAAGGGAUUGCGUCUGAUUAGCUAGUUGGAGGGGUAACGGCCCACCAAGGCGAUGAUCAGUAGCCGGUCUGAGAGGAUGAACGGCCACAUUGGGACUGAGACACGGCCCAGACUCCUACGGGAGGCAGCAGUGGGGAAUCUUCCGCAAUGGACGAAAGUCUGACGGAGCAACGCCGCGUGAGUGAUGACGGCCUUCGGGUUGUAAAGCUCUGUUAAUCGGGACGAAUGGUUCUUGUGCGAAUAGUGCGAGGAUUUGACGGUACCGGAAUAGAAAGCCACGGCUAACUACGUG